AACGAACGCUGGCGGCAUGCUUAACACAUGCAAGUCGAACGGGACCUCCGGGUCUAGUGGCGCACGGGUGCGUAACGCCGGGGAACCUACCCUUAGGUUCGGAAUAACUCCCCGAAAGGGGUGCUCAUACCGGAUGAUGUCUUAGUACCAAAGAUCUCUGGCCUUGGGAUGGGCCCGCGUUGGUUUCGCUAGUUGGUAGGGUAAACGCAUACCAAGGCGGCGAUCCAUAGCUGGUCUGAGAGGAGGAUCAGCCACACUGGGACUGGGACACGGCCCAGACUGCUACGGGAGGCAGCAGUGGUGAAUAAUGGACAAGGGGCGAAAGCCGGAGCCAGCAGUGCCGCGAGAGUGAUGAAGGCGUUAGGAUUGUAAAGCGCUUUUACCCGGGAUGAUAAUGACAGUACCGGGAGAAUAGGCCCGGCCUACCUCGUU
rnacentral:rRNA from 1 species